rnacentral:miRNA from 1 species
GGCUUCUGUGCCUGCAGAGGUCUGUCUCAGCCUUAGCUCUGGUCCCAGACGUCAGAGAUG